rnacentral:lncRNA from 1 species
CGACCUCACCCUAAAGCCCGAGGAUGGUGGUAUUUCAAUCCUCGAAAGGGUCUCUCCUUUAUCACCGGUCUUCCAUCGUCGAUUCAUGGAUGGAAGAACCAGUUCUUCUUCGUCUCUUCUUCCAUUCCUUGGAGGUUCCCUACCCGUUGGGGGGGACCCCCGAGCCCAACCAAACGAGAACAGUCGGGUGGAGGCCGGGGACCG